rnacentral:rRNA from 1 species
AUUGAACGCUGGCGGCAGGCCUAACACAUGCAAGUCGAGCGGGGUUUUCGGACCUAGCGGCGGACGGGUGAGUAAUGCGUAGGAAGCUACCCGAUAGAGGGGGAUACCAGUUGGAAACGACUGUUAAUACCGCAUAAUGUCUACGGACCAAAGUGUGGGACCUUCGGGCCACAUGCUAUCGGAUGCGCCUACGUGGGAUUAGCUAGUUGGUGAGGUAAUGGCUCACCAAGGCGACGAUCUCUAGCUGGUUUGAGAGGAUGAUCAGCCACACUGGAACUGAGACACGGUCCAGACUCCUACGGGAGGCAGCAGUGGGGAAUAUUGGACAAUGGGCGCAAGCCUGAUCCAGCCAUGCCGCGUGUGUGAAGAAGGCCUUCGGGUUGUAAAGCACUUUCAGCGAGGAGGAAGGGGUGUGUGUUAAUAGUACACACCUUUGACGUUACUCGCAGAAGAAGCACCGGCUAACUCUGUGCCAGCAGCCGCAGUAACAC